rnacentral:lncRNA from 1 species
UUCAUGAGCAUCUCUGAUUCUCUUGACCCCAUUUCUACUGGUUCCUGAUACACGCAGCAAACUCUCCCAGAAUUACAUGGGAGAAACAUGAAGUAGCUGAGCUUUUCCUUAGAAGCAGACUUGGAGCCG